GACGAACGCUGGCGGCGUGCUUAACACAUGCAAGUCGAACGGAAAGGCCCUGCUUUUGUGGGGUGCUCGAGUUGCUAACGUGUGAGUAACACGUGAGUAACCUGCCCUUUACUUUGGGAUAACUUCAGGAAACUGGGGCUAAUACCGGAUAUUAGCGCCUGCUGCAUGGUGGGGGUUGGAAAGUUUCGGCGGUUGGGGAUGGACUCGCGGCUUAUCAGCUUGUUGGUGGGGUAGUGGCUUACCAAGUCUUUGACGGGUAGCCGGCCUGAAAGGGUGACCGGCGACACUGGGACUGAGCUACGGCCAGGACUCCGACGGGAGGCAGCAGUGGGGAAUAUUGCACUAUGGGCGGAAGGCUGAUGCAGCAACGCCGCGUGCGGGAUGACGGCCUUCGGGUUGUAGACCGCUUUCGCCUGUGACGAAGCGUGAGUGACGGUAAUGGGUAAAGAAGCACCGGCUAACUACGUG
rnacentral:rRNA from 1 species